AGAGCGAACGCUGGCGGCAGGCCUAACACAUGCAAGUCGAGCGCCGUAGCAAUACGGAGCGGCAGACGGGAGAGUAACACGUGGGAACGUACCCUUUGGUUCGGAACAACCCAGGGAAACUUGGGCUAAUACCGAAAUAAGCCCUUACGGGGAAAGAUUUAUCGCCGAAGGAUCGGCCCGCGUCUGAUUAGCUAGUUGGUGGGGUAACGGCCCACCAAGGCGACGAUCAGUAGCUGGUCUGAGAGGAUGAUCAGCCUCAUUGGGACUGAGACACGGCCCAAACUCCUACGGGAGGCAGCAGUGGGGAAUAUUGGACAAUGGGCGCAAGCCUGAUCCAGCCAUGCCGCGUGGGUGAUGAAGGCCCUAGGGUUGUAAAGCCCGUUUCGGCGGGGAAGAUAAUGACGGUACCGCAGAAGAAGCCCGGCUAACUUCGCGCCAGCAGCCGC
rnacentral:rRNA from 1 species